rnacentral:rRNA from 1 species
AACGAACGCUGGCGGCAUGCCUAACACAUGCAAGUCGAACGAGCCCUUCGGGUUUAGUGGCGCACGGGUGCGUAACGCGUGGGAACCUGCCUUUAGGUUCGGAAUAACUCCCGGAAACUGGUGCUAAUACCGGAUAUUGUCUUCGGAGCAAAGAUUUAUCGCCUUUGGAUGGGCCCGCGUUGGAUUAGCUAGUUGGUAGGGUAAAAGCCUACCAAGGCGACAAUCCAUAGCUGGUCUGAGAGGAUGAUCAGCCACACUGGGACUGAGACACGGCCCAGACUCCUACGGGAGGCAGCAGUGGGGAAUAUUGGGCAAUGGGCGAAAGCCUGAUGCAGCAAUGCCGCGUGAAUGAUGAAGGCCUUAGGAUUGUAAAGCUCUUUUACCCGGGAUGAUAAUGACGGUACCGGGAGAAUAAGCCCCGGCUAACUCCGUG